GGGGAGUAAAGACCGUGGUUCUGUGUGGUGAAGCUCGGUAGUGGUAAGACUCAGAUGCAUCUUCAGGCCCCCAGUGGCUUGGCUUUGGCUUAGGGAGGAAAUCAUCUGGCUGAGACGCUCACCGUGGGAACAUUUGCUUCUCCUCUAGAACCUGCUCUGAGCUCACCUUGUUCAAGAUCUCUAUGUGACCUUCUGAUCGGACCAAACGCACUCAAUGUUUUAUAACGAGGAAAAUCGGCAGAUUUUAUUUUUCGUCUCCACAAAAACCUUCGUGCUACUUAACGUGGUUGUCUCGGCUAAAUGGAAGACAGAGAGAAAAAAGAGAGAGUCUCCUGUCAUCAGUUACCUCGUGGACCCAUUUUGUCUCCAAUUACCUGUAUUUUGUAUUCAAGUUUCAGUGGAUUCCCACUGCCCUUCAUGAAAUGUUAAUUCUACCUUUGAAGACAAUAUUAUUAAAUCAC